UUUUCACAAGAGCAAAAACCUCCAUGCCAUUCUCGAAGCCGAUUGUUCACAGCUAAAACCGAAUUACAAGCUCAAGAAAGCAGAUUCAUCUUCAAAGUGUCUCCUAGCUUAUACGACUACAAUUCUGCAAAGAACAACCAUGGAUUUGUUUCGAACGUCAAUUCUGCAAACUGUGUCGAUUUGGUCGAAUGCGUUGUGGUGAUGCAUAAUGUUGACUCUGGUACGCAAUCGCACCUCCUGGUGCCUAUUCGGCUGUGCAGACCUCUGAGCUGUGUGGCAAUUUCCCAGGAUGGCCGCUUCGUGGCUGCUGGAGAGUCAAUGCCUCAGCCUACAGUAUUUAUGUGGGAUUUAGAUGGCAUGGCCUUUGUAUCAGAACUUGAAGGUCAUCUGUACGGUAUUGCUUGCCUUGCUUUUUCCCCUGAUGCUAGUUUUUUUCUUCUUUGGUUUCAGUUCUGCUGCUACUUGUUCACUUUUCCUUUUUCCAGCUUAAAUAACUCGCUAUUCUUUAUUUAUACGAGGGGAAUAUAUAUUUGGCGGACUACAGCGUUGCUAGCAAAGCUCAAACCAUGUUCAUCUUAGACGGCCAUCUCAUCUGUUUCCUUCUCAUCAGAUUCAAAACCUCUUUGAACUGCUGGGAAGAAGCACAUGAAGUUCUGGACAAUCACAUCUCCUAGGACCCAAUUUAAGUUAGGGACAAGUUCACUGUCUUUGCAUGGAAAACCUGUUAAUCUUGUUGGAUGCAUGUUUGAACUCACAUCUCAAUUACUUCUACGCCUUAGGACAGUAACUAUUAUUCUGGAAUAAAUACGCUCGAAUUCUUCAUGAGAAAAGUUUUAUCUAUAGUCUUUCGGAUUUCCCUCUGCUUUUGUGGAAAUUUUCUAUGACUAUGGUUUUUAAAGCAAAAUCUAGCUAGCACGAACAGAAAUGUUCAACAUGGAUGCGUUGAUAUAUAAUUGUGGACCCCUUGGCACAUGCAGUAGAUAGUAAGCGUAUAAUACACACAUACAUUUAGAUAGAGUGGGAGAGAAAUGUAAGUUUGCAUGAUGUUAUAUGUGUUAGUUUUUUAAUAUUUUUUUUCAAAGUUCUACGUGGAGGAUAAGUUGAUAAAUAUGCGUCAUUCUCACGUCUUUAUCUGAUUUCAUGAUCAGAGCAUGUAUGUUGCAUGCAUCCAUACACAUUUUAAUUUUUAUUCAACUUUCAAUUUAAUGAGAGCUUGAUCUGUUUUUUGUUUUCUUUGUUAAAUUUCAAUUAAAGUGAACCGCCCUAAUUUUAAAGCAGUAACCAAAAAACAAUCCACUUAGAAGAAGAUAAUUUGCGCAAUUCUUGUUCCUUGUCCGAUGUAGAGGUUGUGCAUGGACCCCACUCUCAUUCUGUAAAGUUUUGCAAGCAGAAAAUCAUGAGUGGUGGUUUGUUGUAGUUUAUGGUUUCAUUAGGUUUAGGGGGACAGGGGAAGAGUUAUGGAAGGUGUUGGAUGGUCUAUUCGGUCUUUGUGGGUCUUGUUAGUUCUUAGGGUAGCAACAUUUUCCCGGAUCGCCUAAUUCACAUCAAUACUUCAUGCAUUGAACAUGGACAUACUAUCCAACAUUUGUGCAUAAUAUACUUGUCCUUGAACCUGGGAUACAGCCUUUCAGAAGUAAUAAUAUCAUAUUACUAGAUUAAUAUUUUCAUGGUUUCUUUUAUUAAGUCAUAUUCAAUUCAUAGGUGUACCAAACAGGAAGUUUCUUUUAAUGAUUCAAGAUGAUCAUCUCACGAUCUAGAACCAAACUUGAUCUCUGUAUGAUUGCAUGUCCAACUUAAUCACUUCGAGUUAGCAAGGUUUUGUGGUUUAUUGGUACCCUGCAUAAGUAUAUAAUCUUAUCUAUCUUUUUGCUCUGUCCAAUUUUUCUCUUUCUGUGAUAUGAACAGAAAAGUUGCUGUUCUUUGAUUGUUGAUGAUCAAGAAAAUGCACCUCUACCUCCAGAAUUUCAAUUUUUUUCUGACCACGUCCUUGGAUAUGUUAAGUCCUGCACCAGCAGCUUAUCCGGAACUCUUCUGACAAUAGAAAUACUAAUGGUUCUCAUGUGUCUCAAGAAACUUUUUGGACAAGAUGCAGCAAAACUACCAGUUUAUAAUGGAUGCUCUUCUGGUCAAGCUAGCAAUGAUAUAGCAAUGAUAUGAAUUUCACUCAAGAAUGAAUGAGGUUCAUUCUGGGAAAACGGAAGAGCUGCUUUUCAGCAAUGUGAAAAGUCAAAAGCAAGCCACUGGAGGUGGUAUCGGUGCCGCAUUAAGUCUGAAAAUGGUGAUCUAUUCAAGCUACAUUCGGGCAGUUUGUCAAUGUCAGGAGUGAAUCAUCAGUAAGGGGAAGUUACUCUUCCAAAUGUGCUGUGCAGGACUGUCUUGGAAGCACCAAAAGACUUCUAGUGCUACCUUAUGACGCUGGUUGCAAAACUUUGAUUACGUGGACGAAGCUACUAAUCAUUCUCCGUCAGAGAAAUUGCGAAGUCAGGUUUUGGCAGAGCAAGAAUUGUUGUGCAGGAUAUCUAUCUGAAAAGGUUGAUGAAAUGUUGAGGAAGAAUCUUGGUAGUCGAUCAACUCUAUCUCGAACAGUAAAAAAUUUAAAGGUCGGAGCCCUUCGGGAUUUUGCCAAAGAUGCCACUUCCUAUUGCCAGGCAUGACACCGACGGCAUGCUAGUGAAUAAUUAGCUCUCCGAGAAUUUACAGAUACCGAAGGCCUGUUGGAAUAUAUACAAAUCCCUAAGAAGAUUGUCGCUGUAAUAUGUGCUCCACCAAUUUAUCCUCAUUAUGAAUCAGAAAGGUAACUUCCAUAAGCCCAAGAUUAUGUCACCUAGUAUUCUCCUCCUACUAUUUUCAGUCUUUUCUAGAUUCACAUUGAGGCCAUGGGUGUUCCUUAUGUGAAAUCUCUUGUGCUUUAAUUAUUAAUAGAUUCAGCUUUGUGCAAGAGGCAUAUUUCCAUUUCCAGUUUUAGAUUUCUCCAUUUAAGCACAAGUUUGAUUUCUUUUAGUUGACAUGAUUCCCAGAUUUUUACAUCUUUUUUCCAACACAACCGGACCUUUUACAGCCAUCCUUUUAUGUAGUUCACGUUUAUUAUCCUUAACAAAUAAGUAGAUUCCUUUCAAAUCUAUAUACUUAUUGUUGCUUAACUUUUCAGUAUCAAUUGGAUUGUAUCAGAAUAUAUAUUUCCUUAGUUGAUGGCUCUAAAAGGGGUUUGCAUUCAUUAUCUCUUAUAGUUAAUCCCCAUAGAUCAUGAAAAUAAUGUUGAUUAUAAAAUGAAAACCCCAUAUGAUCGUUGUUAGGUGAAACUAUAUGUGGUUUGGAGAUUGCAGUCUGAAUAUAUUUAUGGGUGUGGGGUUAUUAUGUCAAGACUGGGAAACUGUUCCAAUCUCUGUGACUUUUCCAUAGAGAAAAUGACAAAGAACUAAAGAAACGAAGAAAGCUCAUUCUCACUGCAUAAAGCAGCACGGGAGAGACAAAAACUGCACACACUCUGAACAUUAGAAUCUGCAGUUCCCUUCACAGAAGAACGCAAACCAAAGCUAAAUCACUCUCCCCCUUUUGCCAAAUCCAACUCUGUUAUCUUCUUAAUCUCAGUUUGCAGGCUUUGAAUAUAUUACAUGAAAGAAAAUAAAAAUAAAAAAUAAAAAAAUUGAACUCCUUUUCAUGUCAAACAAAAUUUUUACAAAUGUGGCUGCUAGAUUACCAUGCCUUGGUUUCUCUCUCUCUCUCUCUCUCUGCUGCUGCUGCUGAUUUUUUUCUUUUCCAGCCUUGGUGUGAAUCCAUAGGAAUGUAUGAAUUUAUUAUUAUUUUGGUGUUUUCUGGGCAGAGAUUGACUGAAAUCUUGUAGUAGACAGUUUAAUAUUGUUUUAAGGAUCAUAAUAAUUCCAAUAGAUUGUUGUGUGAGAAAAAUCUUUGCAGGAUUCCUUUCCUGUCCAUUAGCCUUGGAGGAGAAAACAAAAUGAAAUGAUUUAAGCUGCUUUAAUACUCUUUUCGAUCCAUGAUCGAGAGAUCGAACAAUCAACUUCUUGGAUGGUAGUUGAUUCUUUAUCUGGUAAGUUACCGUCUGACUUCGACUUCCUAAUUUAUAAUUAUAGAUUUGUUAUACAUCAGGUUAAGAUUUAUACUUUAAUUAAGACUUUGUGAUACUUUAGAGUUAUAUUUCUAGUUCAUUAGGUUACAUGGGUUAAGAUAUAGUGAAUAGACUGACCAUUGCCCCGCAACCAUAUGAACUCCACCCGCUCUUACCCAUUCCAAAGUCCACCCCCGAGACCAAGUUGAUCAAAUUGAGAGGUAUAUAAUGUAUAAAACUAAAUGAAUACAUUUAAAGCUUCUACCUACUCCUCAAAUUGCUGUCAUCCCCAUCAAUACAUUUGCCAAAAAAGAAAACCCAAAUCAUUGGGAUUGUUAAAUUUCAAAAGACCAAGAUUGGGAAUGAGAGAGAGAGAGAGAGAGAGAGAGAGAGAGAGAGAGAGAGAGAGAGAGAGAGAAUCUAAUUGUAUCUUGGUGGAGCAUAGAUGGGAAUGCAGUUCAUUAUUGUAAGAUGUGGACCCCUCAUCCAUCCCACAAGUGAAGAAUUUUGGUUUGGUCCCAAAUUCUGAGCCUCUCUCUAGAUUUCCAUGCAAACAUAUCCUUAUGGGAACAUCACAAUAAUUCUCAUACCACCAACCCUAAGAUAAAAAA